AUUGAACGCUGGCGGAAUGCUUUACACAUGCAAGUCGAGCGGCAGCGCGGGGCAACCUGGCGGCGAGCGGCGAACGGGUGAGUAACAUAUCGGAACGUACCCAGUAAUGGGGGAUAACUACCCGAAAGGGUAGCUAAUACCGCAUACGCCCUGAGGGGGAAAGCGGGGGAUCGCAAGACCUCGCGUUAUUGGAGCGGCCGAUAUCGGAUUAGCGAGUUGGUGGGGUAAAGGCCCACCAAGGCGACGAUCCGUAGCGGGUCUGAGAGGACGACCCGCCACACUGGAACUGAGACACGGUCCAGACUCCUACGGGAGGCAGCAGUGGGGAAUUUUGGACAAUGGGGGCAACCCUGAUCCAGUCAUUCCGCGUGAGUGAAGAAGGCCUUCGGGUUGUAAAGCUCUUUCGGCAGGAACGAAACGGCGGGCUCUAACAUAGCCUGUCACUGACGGUACCUGAAGAAGAAGCACCGGCUAACUACGUGCCAGCAGCCGCAGUAAAAC
rnacentral:rRNA from 1 species